rnacentral:misc_RNA from 1 species
UAAGCGCGUCUGAGGCAGUAGACAGG